UUUUGUUGGGUAAUUGCAACAGUAAUGAUUACGUUUUUAACGCCAGAAUUUAUAUUAUUUUAUAUUCUAGGAUGAAACGGAUAAAAAAAAGGAUGUCUUACAAAAUAAUUCUCGUUGCACGCAAACCAGAAAAAAUUAAAGGGAAAAGGGAUAGAUAGGGAAAGAGAGAAAACGAGACAAGAAACAAACUUCCUAGCGAUGAGCAUAAAAUCUUCUUCGAUUUGGGCACAACUUUGGAGUUUGAGAUAAAAAGAGACAGAGAGAGAGAGAGAGAGAGUUAGUCGUAUUCUUGAGAAUGGUAUAGUAUCAUUCCGUUACGUCGCCAACGCGGAAUGUUGUUUCAUCGAGACGACGACGACGACGACGACGACGACGAAGACGAUGAGAAGGGAAACCACGGCAAUAAUAGCGUGUCCCGUUGUUAUUCUAUCCGACUGCAUUCGCCAUUAGUUCUUUUAUUUCGAUAAACACGGAAACUCUGAAUUAUAUAAUAAUUCGAAAGAACGAGAGAUAUUGUCUUCUUUACUUAGGGGUGGAUUAAAGUAAACAAGAAAAUUUUUUUGUGUGGCUAACAACGAGCUAAAUUAUUACAUCGUUGUAAACGAUAAUAAAAUUCGGGGAUGAUUUCAAGCAAUUUUAUUGAAAUAA